rnacentral:rRNA from 1 species
GAUCCUGGCUCAGGAUGAACGCUAGCUACAGGCUUAACACAUGCAAGUCGAGGGGCAGCAUGUUGGUUGCUUGCAACCAACGAUGGCGACCGGCGCACGGGUGAGUAACGCGUAUCCAACCUUCCGCACACUCGGGAAUAGGCCUUUCGAAGAAAGAUUAAUGCCCGAUGGUUUCCCGAAUCCGCAUGAGAACGGGAAUAAAGAUUCAUCGGUGUGCGAUGGGGAUGCGUCCCACUUAG